UCCAGGGGCAGGCAGAAGGUCAUACACAGGAGGAGGCAGGUAGCUGGGUCCAGGGGCAGGCAGAAGGUCAUACACAGGAGGAGGCAGGUAGCUGGGUCCAGGGGCAGGCAGAAGGUCAUACACAGGAGGAGGCAGGUAGCUGGGUCCAGGGGCAGGCAGAAGGUCAUACACAGGAGGAGGCAGGUAGCUGGGUCCAGGGGCAGGCAGAAGGUCAUACACAGGAGGAGGCAGGUAGCUGGGUCCAGGGGCAGGCAGAAGGUCAUACACAGGAGGAGGCAGGUAGCUGGGUCCAGGGGCAGGCAGAAGGUCAUACACAGGAGGAGGCAGGUAGCUGGGUCCAGGGGCAGGCAGAAGGUCAUACACAGGAGGAGGCAGGUAGCUGGGUCCAGGGGCAGGCAGAAGGUCAUACACAGGAGGAGGCAGGUAGCUGGGUCCAGGGGCAGGCAGAAGGUCAUACACAGGAGGAGGCAGGUAGCUGGGUCCAGGGGCAGGCAGAAGGUCAUACACAGGAGGAGGCAGGUAACUGGG